GGAGAGAUGGCUCAGUGGUUAAGAGCACUGCCUGCUCUUCCAGAGGUCCUGAGUUCAAUUCCCAGCAACCACA
rnacentral:tRNA from 1 species